UGGGGAAUAUUGGACAAUGGGCGCAAGCCUGAUCCAGCAACGCCGCGUGGAGGAUGAAGGUCUUCGGAUUGUAAACUCCUGUCAGGCGGGACGAAGGCUUCGGGGUAAAUAAUCCCGGAGCUUGACGGUACUGCCAGAGGAAGCCCCGGCUAACUCCGUGCCAGCAGCCGCGGUAAUACGGAGGGGGCGAGCGUUAUUCGGAAUUAUUGGGCGUAAAGGGCGCGUAGGCGGCCCGGUAAGUCAAAGGUGAAAUCCCUCGGCUCAACUGAGGAACUGCCUUUGAAACUGCUGGGCUUGAGUCCGGGAGGGGGUAGCGGAAUUCCCAGUGUAGCGGUGAAAUGCGUAGAUAUUGGGAGGAACACCGGUGGCGAAGGCGGCUACCUGGACCGGCACUGACGCUGAGGCGCGAAAGCGUGGGGAGCAAACAGGAUUAGAUACCCUGGUAGUCCACGCUGUAAACGAUGGGUGCUCGGUGUCGCGGGUAUCGACCCCUGCGGUGCCUUAGCUAACGCGUUAAGCACCCCGCCUGGGGAGUACGGUCG
rnacentral:rRNA from 1 species